UACGUAGGGGGCAAGCGUUGUCCGGAUUCAUUGGGCGUAAAGAGCGUGUAGGCGGCCAGGUAGGUCGGUUGUGAAAACUGGAGGCUCAACCUUCAGAGGUCGACCGAAACCAUCUGGCUAGAGUCCGGGAGAGGAGAGUGGAAUUCCUGGUGUAGCGGUGAAAUGCGUAGAUAUCAGGAGGAACACCGAUGGCGAAGGCAGCUCUCUGGCCUAUAACUGACGCUGAGGUGCGAAAGCGUGGGGAGCAAACGGG
rnacentral:rRNA from 1 species